UCCGAUUUGUCACCGGCAGUCUCCCAUGAGUCCCCGUCUUUCACGCCGGCAACAUUGGACAGGGGUUGCGCUCGUUGCGCCACUUAAGGCAACACCUCACGGCACGAGCUGGCGACAGCCAUGCAGCACCUGUGCAGGCUCCCGAAGGAGCACCGGCUUUCACCGGUUUCACCCUGCAUGUCAAGCCCUGGUAAGGUUCUUCGCGUUGCGUCGAAUUAAACCACAUGCUCCUCCGCUUGUGCGGGCCCCCGUCAAUUCCUUUGAGUUUCACCGUUGCCGGCGUACUCCCCAGGUGGAUUACUUAUCGCUUUCGCUUGGUCACUGGAAAUUGCUCCCCAGCAACGAGUAAUCAUCGUUUACAGUGCGGACUAC
rnacentral:misc_RNA from 1 species